UCUCUCUCAUGGCUGCAAUCCGGCCCGUUAUAAUGGGCGAACCGAGUUUGAGUCCUUUUCCUCAGCAUCAGGUUUCGGCUCCAGAUAUGACCCCUGUUCCUUUUCCGGUUCAGCCUUUGCCUCCAUCUGCAGUGUCGUCCACUUCUUCUGGCAUUUCAAAACAGUUGAUGCACAAGAACCGUUUGCAGGAAUACACUCAAAAGUCUGCAAUUUUGCGAUAAUUGUACUGCUAAUGAGGGGUCUCAACAUGCACUAUUUAGGUCGACUAUGACUGUGGACGGGAAAUUUAUACUUCUCCCAACACGUUUUCACAUCGAAAAGCAGCUGUGCAAGAUGGUAGCCAAACUUGCACUCGAAAACAUAUUACAAAAGAUAAAGAAUGAAGGUUGCCCUCUCAUUCAUCAGUUGAACUUGGGUGAAGUAUAUGUUUUCCCGUCCACAGUCACAGUCAACCUAAAUUGCGGUGCAUGUUGAGACCCCACAUUAGCAGUGCAAUACAAUGGAAGCGAAGUUGCAGACCGUUGAGCGUAUUCCAGCUAACCUGUGUUUUACAAUUUUUCUAUACUCCCUGGCUGUCUGGCUAUAAUCCCUCCCUUUGAUACUUAUUUGUAAUCAUUCUACACAUCAUGGGGAUGUUCGUAUCAUGCCAUAUCUAGUUGCGUAGUUUAUUUCUUUCAAUGUCAAUACAGCCUAGUGAAGAUGCUUGUAUUGCUUAUUUCUAUUGAAUUACCUUUCUCUCAUUAGCCAUUGAAUACCCUGAAUAUCUUCCUUGCCAUUCUUGUUCUGUGCAUAAAGUAAUGUAGUUCUUUUAUACCUUUUUGGGUUGCUGAAUUGUAAGUUAACUUCUUGUGAGAUUUUGCAGGAUGCCGAUUGCUACCUUGCCAGUGAAUCAAGCCCCAUCGUGUUCAGUAGCCCAGUAAACAAAAUAACUUGCGUCUUACUGUAUAUGUAUUUCGUUUGGGGUGAAAAAAAAGCCUUUCAUAUAGGAUUUUGUUGGACAUUAUAAAACCUCCUUGUUUUGCACUCCUUAGUUAGAUCUUUUAUUUGAUUUUUUUUUUUUUCCUGAUCUGUGUAACUUCUUCGCUACCUUGUCAGUGUUGCCGCAUCAAGUGGUUGCUUAUAAGUCCUCAACAGAACUGUGACUUGAGUUUACAGUCUUCAGUGUAUAAGCAAGUAUUCCGACUAGGCCUUAUGACCCGAAGAUUCUGCUCUUUACCAAUUUGUUCUUUUUAUUUUUUUGCGCUGCCAAUAUUGUCUGCCAUCUUAGUUUUUACUGUGUUCAAUUAACUAUUUGAUGCUUACUUUGUAGGAUACGGUAUUUUGCAAGUCUAUCUUUCAUGAAUUUGCUGUCAAGAUGAAUCUGGAAAUGCCUACUUAUAACACUAUUCAACCACAAGGGCUG